GAAGGUGUGCUGUGAGGCAUGCUGGAGGUAUCAGAAGUGCGAAUGCUGACAUAAGUAACGAUAAAGCGGGUGAAAAGCCCGCUCGCCGGAAGACCAAGGGUUCCUGUCCAACGUUAAUCGGGGCAGGGUGAGUCGACCCCUAAGGCGAGGCCGAAAGGCGUAGUCGAUGGGAAACAGGUUAAUAUUCCUGUACUUGGUGUUACUGCGAAGGGGGGACGGAGAAGGCUAUGUUGGCCGGGCGACGGUUGUCCCGGUUUAAGCGUGUAGGCUGGUUUUCCAGGCAAAUCCGGAAAAUCAAGGCUGAGGCGUGAUGACGAGGCACUACGGUGCUGAAGCAACAAAUGCCCUGCUUCCAGGAAAAGCCUCUAAGCAUCAGGUAACAUCAAAUCGUACCCCAAACCGACACAGGUGGUCAGGUAGAGAAUACCAAGGCGCUUGAGAGAACUCGGGUGAAGGAACUAGGCAAAAUGGUGCCGUAACUUCGGGAGAAGGCACGCUGAUAUGUAGGUGAAGUCCCUCGCGGAUGGAGCUGAAAUCAGUCGAAGAUACCAGCUGGCUGCAACUGUUUAUUAAAAACACAGCACUGUGCAAACACGAAAGUGGACGUAUACGGUGUGACGCCUGCCCGGUGCCGGAAGGUUAAUUGAUGGGGUUAGCCGCAAGGCGAAGCUCUUGAUCGAAGCCCCGGUAAACGGCGGCCGUAACUAUAACGGUCCUAAGGUAGCGAAAUUCCUUGUCGGGUAAGUUCCGACCUGCACGAANGCAAGCGAAGCUCUUGAUCGAAGCCCCGGUAAACGGCGGCCGUAACUAUAACGGUCCUAAGGUAGCGAAAUUCCUUGUCGGGUAAGUUCCGACCUGCACGAAUGGCGUAAUGAUGGCCAGGCUGUCUCCACCCGAGACUCAGUGAAAUUGAACUCGCUGUGAAGAUGCAGUGUACCCGCGGCAAGACGGAAAGACCCCGUGAACCUUUACUAUAGCUUGACACUGAACAUUGAGCCUUGAUGUGUAGGAUAGGUGGGAGGCUUAGAAGUGUGGACGCCAGUCUGCAUGGAGCCGACCUUGAAAUACCACCCUUUAAUGUUUGAUGUUCUAACGUUGACCCGUAAUCCGGGUUGCGGACAGUGUCUGGUGGGUAGUUUGACUGGGGCGGUCUCCUCCUAAAGAGUAACGGAGGAGCACGAAGGUUGGCUAAUCCUGGUCGGACAUCAGGAGGUUAGUGCAAUGGCAUAAGCCAGCUUGACUGCGAGCGUGACGGCGCGAGCAGGUGCGAAAGCAGGUCAUAGUGAUCCGGUGGUUCUGAAUGGAAGGGCCAUCGCUCAACGGAUAAAAGGUACUCCGGGGAUAACAGGCUGAUACCGCCCAAGAGUUCAUAUCGACGGCGGUGUUUGGCACCUCGAUGUCGGCUCAUCACAUCCUGGGGCUGAAGUAGGUCCCAAGGGUAUGGCUGUUCGCCAUUUAAAGUGGUACGCGAGCUGGGUUUAGAACGUCGUGAGACAGUUCGGUCCCUAUCUGCCGUGGGCGCUGGAGAACUGAGGGGGGCUGCUCCUAGUACGAGAGGACCGGAGUGGACGCAUCACUGGUGUUCGGGUUGUCAUGCCAAUGGCACUGCCCGGUAGCUAAAUGCGGAAGAGAUAAGUGCUGAAAGCAUCUAAGCACGAAACUUGCCCCGAGAUGAGUUCUCCCUGAC
rnacentral:rRNA from 1 species